rnacentral:lncRNA from 1 species
AAUUUUACCUUCGACAUAGGGCGAUUGAUGUGAAUAUGUGAACUGAGUGUUGAAUGCCUUGUAAACUAGUGAUCUAUACAAUGCUUGCUUUGCUGAAAGUAGUGGAAGUUAUUAGUUUUGAGUGCUCAAAUCCCUAGUACACUAGAAAACUUAAUCAUUUUCUGCUUUUACCUCGAUACACCUAGAUCACCAUGUUUAGAUGCUGAAUUUGUGCCAAGUGUGUUCCCAUUGAGAGCAAUCACCUAACCACUAUGGAUUAGCAUGCUAUGUUCCCUGGAUCGGUAGCAUGUGAACCAGACAUGGAGAAGUGAUGAUUCCUGUUUUUGUGCUUAUGCGUUGUUCAUUUAAGAUAAGUAAUAAUGAAUAAAUAAGUCUGGUCUACCUACAGUAGCAUGUCAUGUUCCCUGGAUCGGUGGCAUGUGAAAUCUGGUAGCUUGGACAGUAAUAAAUAAAUAAAAAUGUAAUUGUCAAACCAGGUGUAUACCAUGUUCUCGGGAUUGGUGGUAUGUUCCUUUGGGGAGAAAAACAAAAAAAAACUAAUAAUUGGUCGAGCCAGGUGUAUACCAUGUUCUCGGGAUCGGUGG